UCCAUUUACAAAGAGGGGGAAAAAUGGGUGCAAAAAUAUACUUUUAAAAAAAGGGAAGAAAAUAGGUGUUGUUCCUCUGUCAAGCCCAGUUCUUCCCUUUGCCACCAGCAGUUUGCUGCGAAACCUCACCGUCUCUUUGAUUUGCUGCUGCCAUUCCACUUUAAUUUCAGCCCGGAGUAAUGAGAGAUUUCAGAAGUUCAUGACAAGAAUCUCGUUCCUCUUGUCAAACAAGCUCUAAAAGCCUUACAACAGGGCACCUAAUAAGGCUCUGUAAUUAAUUCGUACGUCCCUUUCACAGGGAGAGCUGGCGGGCAGCGCUGCAGCCAUAAAUCUUUCUGCUUACAGAAAUCCCAGGUAACAGGGACAGAUAAUAGGCCAUUUUGUGCCCUUAAGAUGCAAAAGCACGCGGUGCCCUUGUUCGGGCAAGGCAGGCAGGCAGGCAGCACGUAUUUUCAGGUUGGUACUUCAACAGUCUUGUCAGCUGCAGAUUACGGGUCCAAGCGAAGCAGCCGCACAGAAGGCAGUGCCGGCGGCAGAAGGUAGACAGCACAGGGAGUUACUGACUGCUCGCCGCUAACACGAGCACAACAGAGAACGAGAGAAAUCCUCUGUGACAUCAGACCUUCGGCAGAGGAAUGGUGAUCACAGCUCAGGAAUGUGACAGGCGUUGAUAAGUGCUGCAGAACUACAAUCUGACAAACCUGUAGUCUCAUUCAGUACAAGCCUCUCUCUACCCCUGCCUCUCCUCGCUCACACGAUCUCCUGGAUGGCGUGUCUCUUCCAGAAUAUCACAGUAAACACACCGAAUGCUUAACGCACACUGGCCUCACUGAAGCAGACUGGCGUUUCCCUUCCCACAGAUUAUUUGCCAUUCUUUAUUAACUGAGAACAGGAGGGAAAGCACUUACUGCUAAUCGAAGCAGAUUUCUUUCCUUCUCCGUCUUCCUGUUUUUCCACCCUCCCCCUCCCCAGGAGACUUAACAAUGAGCCAUAGGUGAAUAAACUGCAGAGGCCUGCCGGAGGAAGGAUCUGGGUUGGGCCUCACUGAAGUAAAUGCUGGUUGCUAUAGGAACCGAAGCAAAGAAUUUGAUAGUUUGAACAUGCCUUUGUGCCACAGGAGCCACCAGAUUCAAUGGAGCAGAUUACAGGAUGGUGAGUUUCAAAUUUCUAUUCCAUUCUCAACAAACACAGUGUAACAGCAAUAAAAAUGGAAAAUGCUGAAAACACUCAACAAGUCAAGCAACAUCUAAAGAGAGAAACAGAACCGGUGCUUCUGGUUUUGCCCUUUAGCAGAUAUGGAAAUGUGAGAAAACAGGCAGUCCCCGAGUUACGAACGGAGGAAGGAGAACACCGUCCGCCAUUUUAAGUUGGAUCAUGACGCCAUCUGCCAUUUUAAGUCGUUGACAUUAAUACUGUGUUGAGGGUAUAACUUUGUAUUUGGCUUAAACUUUUCUUAGCAAGAUUCACCCUGACUCCCCCCCCCCCCCCACUUGUCCCAUUUAACCUGUCUCAGUGCAGGUGGACUUUAGGACCUGGGGGAGCUCAGGUCAGGAUCCGCCACCCGCGGCUGCUGCUGAACUGCAGUGUUUCUGUUCCAUUGAUGGAAAACGAUCAUGAUUGAAAAUAAAUGAAAAACACAAAAUGCUGGCAGAA